CCUGCAGGACGCCGGCCCUCGAGGCCUGGAGUUCAACACCCCUGAGCUACAGAGUCCGAACAGUUCUCCCCUCCGGCUGUGUGAGGCCUUUUACAAAGUGUGACGCUGCGGCGUGACCAUACGUCGAUCACUUGGACGUCUUAAUGUCUCUGAGGACUGACUCACUGCUGGAGGCAGACCUAGCUCCAUCAGAGGGACUGCAGCUUGUGAAACUUCAUGCUCAGUGCUGCAGUUGCUGCUCAGGCGUACCUUGGUCGAAGCAGCGCCGCCGUGAACGUUGCUGUGCUUCAGCCCUGCGCUCACGUUCACAUGGGACAGGAAGUCGAAGCUGUCUGUGGUUAUUGUGUCAUUCUCUAUUCUAUAUCAGUCAGUGUGUCUCUUAAUGCUUACUUUGACCAACACAGCAAGAAGGAGGAGAUAUUUUAAAAGUGACGUGCGGUGAAUUUACAGAAAGGGAAGCAGAGAAGCUGACACCCACAAACAGAAACCUUCCACUGCUGAGCACACCUACAGACACGCUGGACCAGACGGAAACACACCGUCUCUCAUCAGCAGUGCUUUUAUAUCGUUAGUUUGAAGCAUCAACAGAAUCAGCCUGUACCACGUAUGACGCCACACACUUUAUUAGGAUUUACAAAAACCAACCUCAUAACUAGGAUCAGGAAAGGAAAUGAGCGUGAGGGUCAGCGGCCACGCCAACAAGUUUUCCAGUUGGCAGCAAACACGUCCUCUAAAGCUCCCGUGUUCAACAUGUCCUCCGUGUGGGACUUUCCCAUCAGUAUAAUUAAACAGUCCUCACAUAAAACUUUAUAUUACUGUCAGAUUUGACUUCAAAGUGAAAGAGCUUGUGGUAGGACUUGACU